GUAGCUAACGCAUUAAGCGCCCCGCCUGGGGAGUACGGCCGCAAGGCUAAAACUCAAAGGAAUUGACGGGGGCCCGCACAAGCGGCGGAGCAUGUUGGUUAAUUCGAUGCAACGGCGAAGAACCUUACCUAGGCUUGACAUAUACCGAAAACUCAUAGAGAUAUGGGGUCCGCAAGGGCGGUAUACAGGUGGUGCAUGGUUGUCGUCAGCUCGUGUCGUGAGAUGUUGGGUUAAGUCCCGCAACGAGCGCAACCCUCGUCCUAUGUUGCCAGCGCGUUAUGGCGGGGACUCAUAGGAGACUGCCGGGGUCAACUCGGAGGAAGGUGGGGAUGACGUCAAAUCAUCAUGCCCCUUAUGUCUAGGGCUGCAAACAUGCUACAAUGGUCGGUACAAAGGGCUGCGAUACCGCAAGGUGGAGCGAAUCCCAAAAAGCCGGCCUCAGUUCGGAUUGGGGUCUGCAACUCGACCCCAUGAAGUCGGAGUCGCUAGUAAUCGCAGAUCAGCAACGCUGCGGUGAAUACGUUCCCGG
rnacentral:rRNA from 1 species